rnacentral:tRNA from 1 species
GCUAUGGCUCAGUGAAGGAGCCUCUGCUUUGCAUGCAGAAGGUCCCAGGUUCAAUCCCUGGCACCUACA